CAAACGGUAGCUUAAUCUGGAAGAGCACUUACAAUACACAAGUUAGAGGUUUCAGUUCAAAUCUGGACAGUUUGC
rnacentral:tRNA from 1 species